CAGCUACAACAGCGCAGAUCCUACAGAAUACUAGCACCUGAUUUCUGACUUCUCCAGCACUGGCACCUCCAGAGGCAACCUAGCGGAAUACAAGUGUUGAUGCCACUUAGGGUGACUGUUUCAGAUGUCAGGCAUUCUGCCUCUGCCCCGGGUCAAAAAAUUGUGGUAAGAAUGUUUUUAAACCAGGAAAAGGAUGGUUUCCAGCCUCUCUGUCACCAAACUCAACAACAGUCCAAAAAGACUGUUCAAACUAUCAAAACAAAAACAUACCUCCAGAGACAAAGAAUGGAAAGUUUCAUCCCCAAAAGUCAGUCGCCUAGAAUGGCAUUGUGCCUGUUACCACGGAUUGAGGGCUGUGCCAUAGUAAACUCCAGCCAGAUGGUCUGGACACGCCUGAGCUGAAGAAAUCUUUUGUAAUAAAAUGACUAUCCCAGAAUUAACUUUAAAAAAAAGCACUUAAUACCUGUAUUGGAAAACAUGUCUUCAUAGCUGCCAGUCAGCAGCAGGGCCACGAACACUCACUCUCGCCACACACAAAUACCACUGAAAGGCUUCUUUUCUUACAAUGUAUAGUGUCACAGUGAUUGCUAAGAUGCUUUUUGGAACUUCUCCAACCCCUGGGCAAAAAUAAA